AUGCAGCAGUGGAAACGUGAUAAACACUGGAUGAAUCAUCUAAAAGGGUCUAUUUCUGACUUGCUUUACGACAGCGAGCUUUAGAGCAUCACUAAUAUAUGCACAUUACGUCUGUAUGUAUGUUGACCUGAUCAUAUCGCUCCCUGUCACUGAACAUGGUGGGUGGCAUGACGGGUGGCAUGAUGGGUGGCAUGGUGGGUGGCAUGGACAUGGGUGGCAUGAUGGGUGGCAUAGACAGGUGGCAUGGAUGGGUGGCAUGGCAGGUGGCAUGGAUGGAAUGGAUGGGUGGAAUGGAUGGGUGGCAUGGCAGGUGGCAUGGACGGCUGGGAUGGGUGGGUGGCAUGGACAGGUGGCAUGAUGGGUGGCAUGGACAUGUGGCAUGAUGGGUGGCAUCUACAGGUGGCAUGGACAGGUGGCAUGAUGGGUGGCAUGAUGGGUGGCAUGAACUGCAUAAUAGAUGUAUAGUAGGAAAAUACUAUUAUGUGGUACUUAACAGCACCAUAAACAGUGUCGGUGUGUCCUCACACUGAAGGAGAACAGUCUUUUAUUCUAGCAUGAUGUGGUGUG
ensembl:lncRNA